AUUAAUUUGUCCAUGUCUUUGUUCUGUUUCUCUUGCCCAUGUGUGUCUGUCUCAUUAUGUUUCUACAUCUCCAUGUCUUGUCUACAUCUCUUGGUCUCUCAGAUCGAGAAGGAAUUCUGCAGGAUCACACUGAAGCUAUUGCAGUCCACAUUCCUGGGCAAAUUGGACCAACACACACCCAAGCUGUUGCCUGUACAGGAGGAAGGGUGGAGCCGUUGGGAAGAAACUUGAUGAGACCCUUUGACAUGUUAAAUGAGGCAUGUAUUUACAACAGUGUGGUAGUAAUUAGUUGACGACACAAUUGAGUCGCGAAGAGAAGUUGUGAUCAGAGGACUCACACUCUACCUUGGUGAAUACACUGGAGAGUUAAUGAAGGACUACCAGGUUUUUAAUGACGACGAUGCUGCGACCAUCCAAGAAGCUAUUACUACAUUUGCCCUCGGCAUCUUUGUUGUCAGCAAAGCCAGGGAUGGUCUCCCCA